CCUUUUUUAAGGGCCGCCACCCCUAAUUGGUUCCAAAAGACCGCGCCUUAAGAAAAAAAAUCGCUGUCUCCCCAGCGAGACACCGGACUCUCCUUCUCUCCCUUCCUCCCUCACCAUGGCCCGGGGAGGGGGAAAUCUGUCCCUUAACAUAGAAGGCUCUGCCUCCCCAACCCACACACCACCAGGGGGAGCCCCGGAUACGCCCAACUGGCACCCAGCCAGGACCUUGGAUGGGGAGGGGCUGGCGGCGAGAUGGGGGGGGGGGUCACACUUUGUUUUAGCACGUAUAAAGAGUCUGGUUUACCCCCAAGCCAGGGGUACUAGGUCUUGAAGAAGGCAGUCACAGAGCUCCCAGAAUUAGGCAGGGUCCCAGAACGGAACAAUAGUUGGGGGUCAUGAUGGGUCAAGUCCCAUGUAUCCAGCUCCAUAUUCCCUGACAGUCUGGCUGGCUCUUGCUCAGACCCCUAGGGGCAAAGGUCCCCACAAGCUCCUUUAGGUCUGCUCAAAACCUAGCCCCCUUCCCUUCGGCCCCUUUCCCGUACUAGGCUGUCCUUGGAGCCUAGCCGCCGCAGACAAAGGGCUCCAACAGGUUAGUCGCCUGUCGGUGUCUCUUACCUCGGGACCGGGCUGGGGGGACCGGCCGCCACCGCCUUGGGGGUACUGCAGCUCCCCCCACUCUGUCCCCCACCUCAGUCAGCGCCGCCGUCGCCGCCGCCGCCUUCCGGGAGCUCUCAGCCGGGCAGUCUGAGCCAUGCCCCAACCACCGCCGCUGCCGCCGCCUCUCUGCGCCCCUCAGCCAGCUCCAUGCAGCUAGUCCGGGGCUCCCUGCGAUGCUCCCCAACGGGGGAGGAGAUGUGGGGGGAGCCGCCGAAUCACCCGGCCUGGGGGCUGGGGGCGGGGGUAGUAGGAGAAUCGCCGAGUGUGAGCGCGUGUGUCAGUGUAUGAGAGAAUGAAUGUGCGAAAGCCGGCGAGGUAGCGCCGGCGGGCUGCACGGGCGAUGCCUGAGGUUGGUCCUCUGCCUGCCUUCUCCUCCUCCUCUUCUCCAGCUCUCUCUCUUCCAAUCGCUCUCUCUCGCGCCUCCCCCCUCUCCCCCCGCCCGGGAGCCCUCUCCCUCCCCUAUCCGUCCCGUCUCGGGUUUGAACCCGCAGGUGGCUGUGAUGGAAAUGGAGAGGCAGUCAGGACCCUGGAAACCCUGAAGUUGGCAUUACUACACCAGGAACCUACAGAGUGGUCUCCAGGUUGCAACAAAGAUCCUGGAAUAGACAAGAUGCCGGGGCAGGCCAAGAACAGUGUCCAGAGGCAGCUAGCUACCUGGGAGCCUUUGAGGCAAGUCUCGUACUUCUUAUCUCAACUCAACUACUCUGAGGCUCAGGGUUGUAGAAAAGUCCUUUUGGGGGUCUUCCUGAUCAAUUCUGAGCAAUACUCCUUGACUAAGCAGAGCAAGGGCAAAGCUUGACUUGCUGCCAAAAUGUAGCUCAGGAAGAAGCAGAGCCUGAGGCCAACUCCUUCCCAAUUGGGUCCAAACCCAGUUCUAGUCUAGCUGAGAAAGCAGCCUCAGAACUUUCAGACAGGGUCAAGUGGGUCACUAAUGGGUGACCACAGCCUAGCUGUGGGAGAAAUACACUAGGCAAAAUCCAACCACAGAAGCCUCUGACACCUGUUGGGGCAACCUACCAUAGGAGUAAACACUUGCUUAAAGUAAAGUAAAAAGCUUGCUUCAGCAAGCUGCAGGGGUUGGAAUUAGGCCCUAUAGCUGGGAGUGAUAGCAGAGCCCUGUAAAAAUAGGGGAUCCCAUAUUCCUCAGGACUGGGCAGGUCCUGCUGACACCAUUCAGUUGAAGAGCUUAAUCUAAGCAUAUCUUCUUUCUCAUUCCCUUUGAAGAAAAAACAAGGAAAACUCUUAAGACUAUGAGGAAUGCUCAGGAGUAAGGCCAGGAGAGAAUGUUAACCCCAAAAUAAAUGCAUAUCAAGUCUCA
ensembl:lncRNA